GCCUUGUUAGCUUGGUUGGUAGCGCGUCUGCCUUGUAAGCGCUAGGCCGCGGGUUCGAUUCCCGCUCGGGGCG
rnacentral:tRNA from 1 species